rnacentral:rRNA from 1 species
UACGGAGGAUGCGAGCGUUAUCCGGAUUCAUUGGGUUUAAAGGGUGCGCAGGCGGACUAAUAAGUCAGUGGUGAAAUCCCAUAGCUCAACUAUGGAACUGCCAUUGAUACUGUUAGACUAGAGUGUAGAUGACGUAGGCGGAAUGCGACAUGUAGCGGUGAAAUGCUUAGAUAUGUCGCAGAACACCGAUUGCGAAGGCAGCUUACGAAACUACAACUGACGCUCAUGCACGAAAGCGUGGGGAUCAAACAGGAUUAGAUACCCUGGUAGUCCACGCCCUAAACGAUGAUUACUCGUUGUUAGCCUGUACAGGUUAGUGGCUAAGGGAAACCGAUAAGUAAUCCACCUGGGGAGUACGAUCGCAAGGUUGAA